UACGUAGGGUGCGAGCGUUGUCCGGAAUUAUUGGGCGUAAAGAGCUCGUAGGUGGUUCGGUAAGUCAGGUGUGAAACCUCCAGGCUCAACCUGGAGACGCCACUUGAUACUGCUGUGACUGGAGUCCGGUAGGGGAGCGUGGAAUUCCUGGUGUAGCGGUGAAAUGCGCAGAUAUCAGGAGGAACACCAGCGGCGAAGGCGGCGCUCUGGGCCGGUACUGACACUGAGGAGCGAAAGCGUGGGUAGCAAACAGG
rnacentral:rRNA from 1 species